rnacentral:tRNA from 1 species
GAUCCCGUAGCUCAGCUGGUAGAGCAUUACACUUUUAAUGUAGGGGUCCUGGGUUCAAAUCCCAGCGGGAUCA